ensembl:snoRNA SNORA72 Small nucleolar RNA SNORA72
AUGAAAAUGGUUUCCUCACUGUUCUGAUAUUGUAAUAACCAGUAGUCUAAACAUGCACUACAUGAAGACCACUGUGCAUCCCCAGACCUGGUUCUCUAUCUAGAUCUGCUUUUAUAAAUUCUGGUUCUAAGC